AGCGGCGGACGGGUGAGUAACGCGUGGGUAACCUACCUCAUACAGGGGGAUAACAGUUGGAAACGGCUGCUAAUACCGCAUAAGCGCACAGUACCGCAUGGUACCGUGUGAAAAACUCCGGUGGUAUGAGAUGGACCCGCGUCUGAUUAGCUAGUUGGUGGGGUAACGGCCUACCAAGGCGACGAUCAGUAGCCGACCUGAGAGGGUGACCGGCCACAUUGGGACUGAGACACGGCCCAA
rnacentral:rRNA from 1 species